UAGAAUAUGGUAUUAUAUGGUAGCAGAAAGAAUUUUGAGUUCUUAAGGGUAGGUUCAAUUCCUAUGAUUCUAA
rfam:Ovis aries breed Texel chromosome 4, whole genome shotgun sequence.